rnacentral:lncRNA from 1 species
GGGGCGUCUCUGGCACACCACUGUGUGGAGAGGGGCAAGUGCAGGACCCCAGGGCAUCCAGCCAGGCCCACGGGGCCUGGGGUGGAGGUGGGAGGGAUUCUCAGAUUCCCAGGCAGUCUAGAAGCAGACAUGGAAGGAAGAGAACCCCUGAGGUGACAGAAGCAUUGUGACCUCAUGUUGAGCAGGGGAACAUGGGGAAUUCAGGGCUGGUGGUGCCCCUUGGCCAUCCCAGGGGAGACACCAAGGGCUGGGAAAUGGGCUUGGAGUUCAGGGGAGGCUCCAGGAGAUGUGAACCUGGAAAUGGCCAGAUCAGAGGUGACACAGCCGCAGCACUGGGGAGGCCGCCAGGGCAGCCACGGUGGGAGGCGACAGGGGCUGGGACAGAGCCCGGGACUCUGCCACUGUUGGGGAUCAGGAGGUGAGCAGGACCGGCCAAGGAGACUGGGAAAGGGUGGGUGGGAGGUGGGAGGAGAGUCUGCAUUAAGGGUGGAGGUGGUCCUUCGGGGGCUGUCUCAAGGAGGAGAGCGGGAUCAUCGGUGUCAUGCGCUGACCCACAGGUAGGACAAGGACGGAGAGCCGCCUGGGCCUCGUGAACCCCAGGCAUCCCCAAGGGCCUCGCUGGUGCUGGGCACGUGGUGGGGUUCCCCAGAGCCUCCGCUGCAGUCCCAAAUGAGCCGCGGGCUUUCCUGGCCUUAUCUGAUCAAUGGGAGAGGGAAGAGUGCUUGCCCUGGGUUACCCGGCAAGUUGAGGAUCUGAACCCAGGCCCUGGCUUGGGGCUGUCCCCAGAUGGGGCCAAGAAUGUCCUUCCCCUGGGGAAUUUGGGCACCUGGCCUCGGCUGCAGAGGUGACCCUGUCCCACCUGUGACCUGAGCCCUGGGUCUUGUCUAGGCUCUGUGUGACUUCAUACAGGGCCUCCCUUUUCCCAGCUGUGCCCCGGUGCCGCCAGGCUAGGCUGGUGACUGCGAACUGGCCUCCCGGAGCUAAAUCUGGCCCACCACCAGCAUGUUGUAUUUGGCCUGCACAAAGGUUUUUUUUUUUUUUUUUUUUUAAACAUUUGAGCCAACAUUUAAAAAUUGGGAGUUUACAUUUUAAAAUCCGUAUUUUUGGCUUCUACUGAAAAUUUUGGAAGAUCUGGCAACGUCGGCCCACAUUCCCACGUGGCAACAGUCAGCGGGGCUGGGAAGCAGCUGCCCCCUCUCCAGGCACCUUGGGGGUCCCCCAUUCAGGAAGGGGACCAUCCACAUCUGAGCUUUCCCUAUUAUCGGGAGGCUGAGGCCAGUAGGGCAGAGUGACUUAUUCAAGGUCACUCAGCCGGAAAGCCUCUCAGACAGGAUCCAACUGCAGCCUUGGGGACUUGCAUUGGGGGUGCUGUCAUGACCCCACCCAGGGCCAUGCCCCUGGCCCUGUGCUUCCUGCUCCUUCUUGACUUUUGUUCUCAGAUAAACAUUGGAUCGAGUCAUUCACACUAGUAUAAAUGAGGCUCAGUCCCAAGUCUGUGAUAACCGGCGGUCCUAGAGACCUUCUACAGUAGCCUCUUGUUUGCUGACCAGUGAAGAGGAGGACCAGAGACUCACCCAUGGCCACUCAGCCAGGCAGGACAGCACAGGACAGGACUGAAACCCAGGGUCCUCCUGGGGCAGCAGCUUCCUCCCAGAAGUGGUUCAUGGUGGAGCCCCAGGCAUUGUCUCUCAAGAAACGGUCUGCAGGUUGGUGACUGGAAGCCAGGGAUCUGCCUUGCUUCCCCAGAGCCACCCCCUCCAGAAAGCAUUCUGGGGACACAGGCUUGUCCAGGCCAGGAAGAACAUGGAAGUGAUGGCUGGAGCUGUGGCAGCCAUUUUGCACCAUGAGACAAACUUGUGGCAGCAGCCAUAUAUAAAAGAUGGAGGAGCAGAAAGACAAAAGGAAUCCGGAUAUCUCAUGACCACUGAAUCAUCAUCACACCAGCCUUGCAUCAUCUGCCUCUGGUACUUUUUUUUUUUUUUUUUUUUCUGAGAUGGAGUUUCGCUCUUGUUGCCCAGGCUGGAUUACAAUGGCAUGAUCUCGGCUCACUGCAACUUCCGCUCCCAGAUUCAAGCAAUUCUCCUGCCUCAGCUUCCAAAGUAGUUGAGACUACAGGCGCCUGCUACCAUGCCUGGCUAAUUUUUGUAUUUUUUGUAGACACAGAGUUUCACCAUGUUGGUCAGGCUAGUCUCGAACUCCUGACCUCAGGUGAUCCGCCUGCCUUGGCCUCCCAAAGUGCUGGGAUUAUAGGCGUGAGCCACUGUGCCUGGCCUGCUUCUGGUACUUCUUUAACUUGAAAGAAAAAUAACCUCUUGUCUUUAAGCUAUGGUUAUUUCAUCUCUGUUGGUAGCAGCUAUGUGCAAUUCUCCAAUGAUAUACAGGGUUAGGGUGAGAAAAAGCAGUUGUUAACGCUAUGAGCAAGAGCCUUUGGCACAUGGAGGCCUCGGGUGUAGUUAGGUGGGAGUGGGGCCAGGGAGAUAAACUUAGAGAAGGGUUAGAGCCAGACCUGGACCCUCCAUCAUUUGUGUGAAGGGAGACACGCCUGCCCACUGCACCCCACACAGAGAUCCUUCCUAGGAUGCGGCUUUAGGCUGCUAGACUGAAGGAAGGCUUUCCAGGGGUGGCAGCCCAGGCCCUUGGCCUGGUGGGCAUUACCACCAUCGCUGGCCUGGCCUCUGGUGCUGCUUGGAGCGAGGCUGAGGCCCUGUGUGGCAUGCUCAUAGCUGUACAUCUGGGCUCUGUCUGGAUGCCUCCAUCAGGUGCUGAGGACCCCUGCUUUUCUGAGCUCUGCCGGACACCUCUCUGAAUGCCCAAAGCGCCCCUGACUGAGUCUGCAAAACUCAGUGCGUGGCCUCACCAUGGCCUCAGCCACCCAAGACAGGAACAGGGGCCGCUUCAACUCUUUCCUUCCCUCUUCCCUGUCCCCGCCCCUGGCUGCCAGGCCCUGGAGAUUCAGCCUUUCUCAGGCCUGGCCACCUCCCUGCAUCCUCACCAUCACUUUGCUGGUACCAGACACUACCAUGUCUCACUUGGACAUCUGCGAUCAUCCCUUCCUGUGCCUCCUGAGUCGAUGCGGAUCCAGCCCGGCCUAUCCCACAAACACGGCGAGUGUGACCUUUUAAAAUCACAGACCAGGCCGGGUGCGGUGGCUCACGCCUGGAAUCCCAGCACUUUGGGAGGCCGAGGCAGGCGGAUCACCUGAGGUCAGGAGUUCGAGACUAGCCUAACCAACAUGGUGAAACCCCAUCUCUACUAAAAAUACAAAAAUUAGCUGGGUGUGGUGGCGCCUGCCUGUAGUCCCAGCCUUGGGAGGCUGAAGCAGAAGAAUCACUUGAACCCGGGAGGCAGAGGUUGCAGUGAGCUGAGAUCACACCACUGCACUCCAGCCUGGGUGACAGGGCAAGACUCUAUCUAAAAAAUAAACACAUAAAUAAAGAAAAAAUAAAUAAAAUCACAGGCCAGGUGACUAGACAAC